GGUCACAUCAUUGAAAUCAAUUCUUGACGAUUGGAUGGCAGCAACCCUAAUUCUCCCGGUGAAGAAGACGAACCGCACAAACGACUAAGUUUUCAUCCAUUUAUAUCCAGUUUCAUCAGAUUGUUAUAAAGGAGAGGUGUGAGGUUUCCCUUCACCACCAUUGUCAUCACCGUCGUUGCCAACCCCACUACCACUGUCUGACGCGAUGGUUGUUGCUUGCAGACCGAUUGAAGAUGAACGAAGGCGAGAUUAUUCAACACAUUCGGCGGACCACAGGAAGGGCACCGGAUUCUUUAGAGGAAGCUCGAAAUAUUAAAUAGUGACUCUUCAUAAAUUGGCAGAUGGGUGGCGCGUAUGGAUCAGCUUCUAGGGAAAAACUUGGUUUGCAGGCAUGUCUUCUUUGGAUUAUUCGACAAUGAAGUGGAAGCUACAGGGGUCUUGGAAGCCAUGACCAACUUUGAGUCAAGCAUCUACGGGGAAGAUAGAAGUUUGGAAGCCAUGAAUCAAGUUGAAAGGGGAACAACAAUGUUCAAAGGUGGAUGUGUGCUUUAAAAUUUAUGAGUUACCUUCGGAGAAACAACUUAAGGGGAAGAACUUGUUUUUUUUCCUUUCCUGCCCUUACUCUUC